GUGUCAGCCGCCGCGGUAAAACCAGCUCUUCGAGUGGUGUCCACGAUUAUUGAGCUUAAAGCGUCCGUAGCCGGCUUGGUAGGUCCCUGCUUAAAUCCGGCCGCCCAACGGUCGGUCUGGUAGGGAUACCGCCUUGCUUGGGGACGGGAGACGGCGACGGUAUUCCACGGGUAGGGGUGAAAUCCUGUGAUCCGUGGAGGACCACCAGUGGCGAAGGCGGUCGCCGAGAACGUGCCCGACGGUGAGGGACGAAACCCAGGGGAGCGAAUCGGAUUAGAUACCCGGGUAGUCCUGGCUGUAAACGAUGCGGACUAGGUGUCACCGAAGCUACGAGCUUCGGUGGUGCCGGAGGGAAGCCGUUAAGUCCGCCGCCUGGGGAGUACGGCCGCAAGGCUGAAACUCAAAGGAAUUGACGGGG
rnacentral:rRNA from 1 species